CACCGCAACAGAGACUCUCA
rnacentral:siRNA from 1 species